AUGGCUGAGUAGUUAAGCGUUUGGCUUCCAAACCUGGAGUCCUGGGUUCGAAUCCCGGU
rnacentral:tRNA from 1 species